rnacentral:rRNA from 1 species
CCUACGGGGGGCAGCAGUGGGGAAUAUUGGGCAAUGGGCGCAAGCCUGACCCAGCAACGCCGCGUGAAGGAAGAAGGCUUUCGGGUUGUAAACUUCUUUUCUCAGGGACGAAGAAAGUGACGGUACAUGAGGAAUAAGCCACGGCUAACUACGUGCCAGCAGCCGCGGUAAUACGUAGGUGGCAAGCGUUAUCCGGAUUUACUGGGUGUAAAGGGCGAGUAGGCGGGAAAGCAAGUCAGAUGUGAAAACCAUGGGCUCAACCUGUGGCCUGCAUUUGAAACUGUUUUUCUUGAGUACUGGAGAGGCAGACGGAAUGCCUAGUGUAGCGGUGAAAUGCAUAGAUAGUAGGAGGAACACCAGUGGCGAAGGCGGUCUGCUGGACAGCAACUGACGCUGAGGCGCGAAAGCGUGGGGAGCAAACAGGAUUAGAUACCCCUGUAGUC